AAUAGAUACCCAGGUAGUCCACGCCGUAAACGAUGAGUGCUAAGUGUUGGAGGGUUUCCGCCCUUCAGUGCUGCAGCUAACGCAUUAAGCACUCCGCCUGGGGAGUACGGUCGCAAGACUGAAACUCAAAGGAAUUGACGGGGGCCCGCAUAAGCGGUGGAGCAUGUGGUUUAAUUCGAAGCAACGCGAAGAACCUUACCAGGUCUUGACAUCUCCUGACCGCCCUGGAGACAGGGUCUUCCCUUCGGGGACAGGAUGACAGGUGGUGCAUGGUUGUCGUCAGCUCGUGUCGUGAGAUGUUGGGUUAAGUCCCACAACGAGCGCAACCCUUGGUUCUAGUUGCCAGCAUUGAGUUGGGCACUCUAGAGCGACUGCCGGCGACAAGUCGGAGGAAGGUGGGGAUGACGUCAAAUCAUCAUGCCCCUUAUGACCUGGGCUACACACGUGCUACAAUGGAUGGUACAAAGGGCAGCGAAGCGGCGACGCAUGAGCGAAUCCCAGAAAACCAUUCUCAGUUCGG
rnacentral:rRNA from 1 species